CAUGAAGGGCUCGGGAUUGCAUGGUCGCCAACCCGGUCAGGUUCGGAAGGAAGCAGCCGUAACGAUGUCUGCGAGGUUCGAGUCCCUUCGCCUCA
rnacentral:SRP_RNA from 1 species